UACGUAGGGUGCAAGCGUUGUCCGGAAUUAUUGGGCGUAAAGAGCUUGUAGGUGGUUUGUCGCGUUGUUCGUGAAAACUCACAGCUCAACUGUGGGCUUGCGGUCGAUACGGGCAUCACUGGAGUUCGGCAGGGGAGACUGGAAUUCCUGGUGUAGCGGUGAAAUGCGCAGAUAUCAGGAGGAACACCGGUGGCGAAGGCGGGUCUCUGGGCCGAUACUGACGCUGAGGAGCGAAAGCGUGGGGAGCAAACAGG
rnacentral:rRNA from 1 species